rnacentral:rRNA from 1 species
CGGCGGACGGGUGAGUAACACGUGGAUAACCUACCUAUAAGACUGGGAUAACUUCGGGAAACCGGAGCUAAUACCGAUAAUAUAUUGAACCGCAUGGUUCAAUAGUGAAAGACGGUUUUGCUGUCACUUAUAGAUGGAUCCGCGCCGCAUUAGCUAGUUGGUAAGGUAACGGCUUACCAAGGCAACGAUGCGUAGCCGACCUGAGAGGGUGAUCGGCCACACUGGAACUGAGACACGGUCCAGACUCCUACGGGAGGCAGCAGCC